rnacentral:rRNA from 1 species
GAUGAACGCUGGCGGCGUGCUUAACACAUGCAAGUCGAACGGAAAGGCCCAAGCUUGCUUGGGUACUCGAGUGGCGAACGGGUGAGUAACACGUGGGUGAUCUGCCCUGCACUUCGGGAUAAGCCUGGGAAACUGGGUCUAAUACUGGAUAGGACCACUUCUUGGAUGUUGUGGUGGAAAGUUUUUUCGGUGUGGGAUGAGCUCGCGGCCUAUCAGCUUGUUGGUGGGGUAGUGGCCUACCAAGGCGUCGACGGGUAGCCGGCCUGAGAGGGUGUACGGCCACAUUGGGACUGAGAUACGGCCCAGACUCCUACGGGAGGCAGCAGUGGGGAAUAUUGCACAAUGGGCGCAAGCCUGAUGCAGCGACGCCGCGUGGGGGAUGACGGCCUUCGGGUUGUAAACUCCUUUCGCUAGGGACGAAGCGUUUUGUGACGGUACCUGGAGAAGAAGCACCGGCUAACUACGUG